rnacentral:rRNA from 1 species
CCUACGGGUGGCAGCAGUGGGGAAUAUUGGGCAAUGGGCGCAAGCCUGACCCAGCAACGCCGCGUGAAGGAAGAAGGCUUUCGGGUUGUAAACUUCUUUUGUCAGGGAAGAGUAGAAGACGGUACCAGACGCAUAAGCCACGGCUAACUACGUGCCAGCAGCCGCGGUAAUACGUAGGUGGCAAGCGUUAUCCGGAUUUACUGGGUGUAAAGGGCGUGUAGGCGGGACUGCAAGUCAGAUGUGAAAACCACGGGCGCAACCUGUGGCCUGCAUUUGAAACUGUAGUUCUUGAGUACGGGAGAGGCAGACGGAAUUCCUAGUGUAGCGGUGAAAUGCGUAGAUAUUAGGAGGAACACCAGUGGCGAAGGCGGUCUGCUGGACAGCAACUGACGCUGAGGCGCGAAAGCGUGGGGAGCAAACAGGAUUAGAUACCCCUGUAGUC